UUUUUGAAAGCGAAAAUACGCGCUAAGUUUCGACCUUAGUAAUGAAAUUAAAUUCUCAAAAAA
rnacentral:tRNA from 1 species